GACGAACGCUGGCGGCGUGCUUAACACAUGCAAGUCGAACGGAAAGGCCCUGCUUUUGUGGGGUGCUCGAGUGGCGAACGGGUGAGUAACACGUGAGUAACCUGCCCUUGACUUUGGGAUAACUUCAGGAAACGGGGGCUAAUACCGGAUAGGAGCUCCUGCUGCAUGGUGGGGGUUGGAAAGUUUCGGCGGUUGGGGAUGGACUCGCGGCUUAUCAGCUUGUUGGUGGGGUAGUGGCUUACCAAGGCUUUGGCGGGUAGCCGGCCUGAGAGGGUGAACGGCCAAAUUGGGAAUGAGAUACGGCCCAGAAUCCUACGGGGGGCAGCAGUGGGGAAUAUUGCACAAUGGGCGGAAGCCUGAUGCAGCAACGCCGCGUGCGGGAUGACGGCCUUCGGGUUGUAAACCGCUUUCGCCUGUGACGAAGCGUGAGUGACGGUAAUGGGUAAAGAAGCACCGGCUAACUACGUG
rnacentral:rRNA from 1 species